GUGGGGAAUAUUGGACAAUGGGCGAAAGCCUGAUCCAGCCAUGCCGCGUGUGUGAAGAAGGUCUUCGGAUUGUAAAGCACUUUAAGUUGGGAGGAAGGGCAGUAAGUUAAUACCUUGCUGUUUUGACGUUACCGACAGAAUAAGCACCGGCUAACUUCGUGCCAGCAGCCGCGGUAAUACGAAGGGUGCAAGCGUUAAUCGGAAUUACUGGGCGUAAAGCGCGCGUAGGUGGUUCAGCAAGUUGGAGGUGAAAUCCCCGGGCUCAACCUGGGAACUGCCUCCAAAACUACUGAGCUAGAGUACGGUAGAGGGUAGUGGAAUUUCCUGUGUAGCGGUGAAAUGCGUAGAUAUAGGAAGGAACACCAGUGGCGAAGGCGACUACCUGGACUGAUACUGACACUGAGGUGCGAAAGCGUGGGGAGCAAACAGGAUUAGAUACCCCUGUAGUCC
rnacentral:rRNA from 1 species